rnacentral:sRNA from 1 species
UCAGAUAAAUCAAUCAUAAAGCUCAUAAU